rnacentral:rRNA from 1 species
CCGGCACGGGUGAGUAACACGUAUCCAACCUGCCGUCUACUCUUGGACAGCCUUCUGAAAGGAAGAUUAAUACAAGAUGGCAUCAUGAGUCCGCAUGUUCACAUGAUUAAAGGUAUUCCGGUAGACGAUGGGGAUGCGUUCCAUUGGAUAGUAGGCGGGGUAACGGCCCACCUAGUCUUCGAUGGAUAGGGGUUCUGAGAGGAAGGUCCCCCACAUUGGAACUGAGACACGGUCCAA